rnacentral:rRNA from 1 species
GCAGCAGCCGCGGUAACACGGAGGGGGCUAGCGUUGUUCGGAAUUACUGGGCGUAAAGCGCACGUAGGCGGCUUGGUAAGUUAGAGGUGAAAGCCUGGAGCUCAACUCCAGAAUUGCCUUUAAGACUGCCGAGCUAGCAGGUGAGAGAGGUAAGUGGAAUUCCGAGUGUAGAGGUGAAAUUCGUAGAUAUUCGGAAGAACACCAGUGGCGAAGGCGGCUUACUGGCUCAUACUGGACGCUGAGGUGCGAAAGCGUGGGGAGCAAACAGGAUUAGAUACCCCCGUAGUCCCUGUCUCUUAUAC